GCAGAUGUCGUAUAGCUGGCUAAUACACUGGCUUGCCAAGUCAGAAAUGCGGAUUCGAGUUCCGUCAUCUGCU
rnacentral:tRNA from 1 species